UUCCUACGGGAGGCAGCAGUGGGGAAUAUUGCACAAUGGGGGAAACCCUGAUGCAGCGACGCCGCGUGGGUGACGAAGUAUUUCGGUAUGUAAAGCCCUAUCAGCAGGGAAGAAGAUGACAGUACCUGACUAAGAAGCCCCGGCUAACUACGUGCCAGCAGCCGCGGUAAUACGUAGGGGGCAAGCGUUAUCCGGAUUUACUGGGUGUAAAGGGCGUGUAGCCGGGCCGGCAAGUCAGAUGUGAAAUCCCAAGGCUCAACCUUGGAACUGCAUUUGAAACUGUUGGUCUUGAGUAUCGGAGAGGC
rnacentral:rRNA from 1 species